rnacentral:rRNA from 1 species
GACGAACGCUGGCGGCGUGCUUAACACAUGCAAGUCGAACGGAAAGGCCCUGCUUUUGUGGGGUGCUCGAGUGGCGAACGGGUGAGUAACACGUGAGUAACCUGCCCUUGACUUUGGGAUAACUUCAGGAAACUGUGGCUAAUACCGGAUAGGAGCUCCUGCUGCAUGGUGGGGGUUGGAAAGUUUCGGCGGUUGGGGAUGGACUCGCGGCUUAUCAGCUUGUUGGUGGGGUAGUGGCUUACCAAGGCUUUGACGGGUAGCCCGCCUGAGAGGGUGACCGGCGACAAUGGGACUGAGAGACGGCGCAGACGCCUACGGGAGGCAGCGGUGGGGAAUAUUGCACAAUGGGCGGAAGCGUGAUGCAGCAACGCCGCGUGCGGGAUGACGGCCUUCGGGUUGUAAACCGCUUUCGCCUGAGACGAAGCGUGAGUGACGGUAAUGGGUAAAGAAGCACCGGCUAACUACGUG